CAGCCGCCGCGGGAAUACGUAGGGUGCAAGCGUUAAUCGGAAUUACUGGGCGUAAAGCGUGCACAGGCGGUGUUGUAAGACUGAUGUGAAAUCCCCGGGCUCAACCUGGGAACUGCAUUGGUGACUGCAGCGCUGGAGUGCGGCAGAGGGGGAUGGAAUUCCGCGUGUAGCAGUGAAAUGCGUAGAUAUGCGGAGGAACACCGAUGGCGAAGGCAAUCCCCUGGGCCUGCACUGACGCUCAUGCACGAAAGCGUGGGGAGCAAACAGGAUUAGAUACCCCUGUAGUCCCUGUCUCUUAUAC
rnacentral:rRNA from 1 species